rnacentral:rRNA from 1 species
UACGAAGGGGGCUAGCGUUGUUCGGAAUUACUGGGCGUAAAGCGCACGUAGGCGGGCGAUUAAGUCAGGGGUGAAAUCCCGGAGCUCAACUCCGGAACUGCCUUUGAUACUGGUCGUCUAGAGAUCGGAAGAGGUGAGUGGAAUUCCCAGUGUAGAGGUGAAAUUCGUAGAUAUUGGGAAGAACACCGGUGGCGAAAGCGCCUUGCUGGGUCUGCACUGACACUGAGGGACGAAAGCUAGGGGAGCGAAAGGG